AGCUCUUCUUACCAGCCUUCGUACAAAGCAUUAAAAUGAAAAUAUUUAAGCCGAAUUUGUCCAGGAGGUUUCACUGAGUAUGUAGAGUAUCCUGCUCACAGACUUGCUGUGUGGUGUUUAUUCCCUGGCACUUCUCUGGCAGGUUUCUCUGAACCUUAACAUCUAGAACCCAUGACCUGAAGUGCUGAGAGCUCUCCCCCUUCACCUGUAGGUAAACCGUUUGAUUUCUGCUCCCAUUGUCUUCCCAUAAAAGGGAGUUUGGGAGGGUGAUUUCCCAGGAAAUUUCUAGUGGUUUUAAGAUCAAAAACUAGUUUUGAUGCCGUAUCUCGUUUCUUCCAGCUGUUUUGAGUUCUGUUUUUGGAUUGCUGCUGCUGCUGCUAAGUCACUUCAGUCAUGUCCGACUCUGUGCAACCCCAUAGACGUCAGCCCACCAGGCUCCCCCAUCCUUGGGAUUCUCCAGAGUGAAGACGGUGUGCAGAGUGAAGCUGCCAGUGCUGCAUAUAGAGAGGACACAGGGCUCCAGGGAGGUGGAGGGGCUUGCCUGAGAUCAUAAUGCAAGUUAUUAAUGGAGACCCAGGUUCGAUCCUUCGGUCGGGAAGAUAUCCUGGAGAAGGAAAUGGCAACCCAUUCCAGUAUUCUUGCUUGGAGAAUCUCAUGGACAGAGGUACCUGGCAGACUACAGACCACAGGAUUGCAAGAGUCGGACACGACUUAGUGAUUAAACCACCACCUUCACAAGUUGUGUAUAUUCUUAUUUAUUAUUGGCUUGACAUAUUUCAAGCAGUUCUAUGAUAUUGCUUUCAUCAACUUCAUGAAAUCCUGCACCUUUUGCAAUAUUUACAAUUUCUUUUCACUUUUACUGUCCUUGAAUUUAUUAUCUGCUAUAAUGUUGGUAGGAUGGAAACUAAUGUCUUGAAAGAAUGAGACUUUGGUUAGACAUUAAUUUUAUAAGUAGUCAGUUUAUUAAUGAAUAAUUUUUAUUUAAGAAGUUUUGCUUCUUUUAAACAACCCAGACAUUGGAUUCUCAUAUAAUGAGAUGCACUCCGGUACCACUCAAUUUAUAACUGAACAGGC
ensembl:lncRNA